CAAGAAGCCGCAUAGGCUCUUUGUCCUAGGGACCUUCCCUGGGGCCCCAACCCAAUUUGACUCCACUGACCUCAGGCGCUUAAUUUAACUCUUCUGGGAAGGAAAUCGCUUUGGUUUCCGUAUGGACAGACAUCCUUUUAAGAUGACCCCAAGAGGAUGGAAAUUCAUUCACAUCUAUUUUUGUCACCCAGAACCCCACUUUGGAAGAUAUACAAAAUUUGUUAAGUAUUCUCCUCACUUCUGAGGAAUGACACUUAAUACUAAAAAAAAAAAAAAAAAAGCUAGGGAAGUUACCUGGCUGCAUGCUAAAACCCCCAUAACUCCCUAAGAGCUAAUGCCAUGAUGCCUGUUCCUACUGUGAGGCGAACGUGAUAACCACUACACUACGGAAACCAGCCUCCUACUGUGAAUCCCAACUGGAAUGUCAACAUUGGAGACCGAGGAUCCUGACAUGGAAAUGUUUACUGAUGGAAACAGCUUCAUGGGCCAAGGACAACAGAAAACUGGAUAUGCAGAGAUUACCAGCUAAGGAACUUCGGAGGUGGAAACUCCUCCACCAGAUACCUCUGUUCAAAAGGCAGGACUCAUUGCCGUAACAAGGGCCCUUUAUUUGGUAAAGGCAAAAGAAAUAUUUCUUAUUGCCUCUGUAAUAUAGGCCUGAGAACCCACCUGCAGGAACCACCUCCUGAGAUGAGCCAGCUGUUUAACUGAACUGACCUAUUCUCAAGACUGAGACUGGUUCAUGAUGUAUGGAGCCGACUUUGUACCUACAGUCCAGAAUGAAUAUGAGGGAACAGUGUUGAUUUGUGAUGUUUUUGUAAGAAAAAAAAUCUUGGUCAAAAGAGGGACCUUCUCAUUACUCCUAACCAAUCCUGGGCUUAUCUAGCUAGGUACUAGCUAGAUAAUUUGGAGAAUUGGAGGGGUCUACACACUAGGGAAUUUGGUUACUCCUUUCUCUGUUCACUUUUAGACCUUUUAUUGAGCGAAAAGGGAAUCGACACCAGAUAGGGAUUACUUGCCUGGUUAUCAAGAGGCUAGAUCUUGGUAUUCUUUUGGGAGAACAUUUUUAGUUGGCCGACAAAGCUGCUCUUACCAUUGUUGCCCAACAAAAAGAAAGUAAAUGUGUUAGCUAAGGUAGCACUUGAUAAUCACAUUGCUUUGCACUAUAUUCUUGCAGAACAGGAUAGAAUGCCAUUGCUAACACAACUCGCUGUGUUUAUAUUAACGCUUCUGCUGCAGUAAAAACUAAAAUCUCAUUUAGAUAAAAUCAGAGAGCAAGCCACUUGGCCAUAGCAAAUUUCGCCAGAGGUGCCUGGAAAAAGUGACUGGAUUACUGGACUCUUUUUCUGGAUUCCCCAAGGGAUUAGCAAUGUUACAAGGACUACUCAGAUUUGGGUUAUCUAUACUUUUCAUUUCAUUAAUUGUAUCUGUACUAAUAAGAUGUGCUUUCCAAUGUUGCUCUAAAAUGGCCAAAGAAGAAACUAAUGUUUUGGUCAUGCAGAAUGUACAUGUUAAGCCAAAUACUAGGGAAUACUUCCAACAAAGUGCAAAGUAGUUUCAUUCCUCAAACCCUGAAACUGCAGGAAGUAGCCAGAGCAGUCAUUGUCCCAAUUCCUUCAAGACUGAGGAAUGAUCAUAACUCUGGGGGGACUGAAAAUGUGCCCCAUAGGAUUAAUGAGGUUAAGACUAAUAGGAAAUUUAAAGCUUGUUUUUCGGAGGCCUGUCUCUCCCUAAUCAGCUAUUGUUUCGUUUCAGACCCCACAACAAAUCCACUAAUUGUUUCCAUUGAGGCUUGGACUGAUAUAAAUGAGGCUCACUGACACCAAUGCCCUGCAUUCCUUCCCUGUGAUAAUGAGCCCAAGAAUUUAUGCAGUAUAUACUUCCUUUCAGAGAUGGGCAUAGCCCCUCUUGUCCUACAGUUGACUUCCUGACAUCAGGCACCCAAUUGUGCCUCGUUUUAAUGUUGUAUCUCCACCCUAAAGUGAACAUGGGAUGCACAUGCUCCAUCUUUCCUCAUGAAUAGUCAUAAAUCUCCCUGUCUUUUGCAUCAAUAUGUAUGUAAUCCCACCCCUAAGAUUAUAAACAUUUGUUCUAAUUUCACUCAGGGGAGACAGAUUUGAACCAACCUCUGUUUCCCCUUUUUGCUGCCUUUCGAAUAAAUCUUUUCCCUGCUGCAUACUUGAUGUUUCAGUGAUUGGUUUUGCCAUGCAUUGGGCAGACAAACUUGGGUUCAUUUACAGCAUUUGCAAUUGGUUGUGUUUAAAUAAAUUUUCAAUUAAUUAAAGUUGUAAAUUUACAAACAGAUUUUCUUAAGUUUUUAAGUUGAACUUGCAUAACUUUGAUGUUCUAUUUAGAAAUCUUGUAAUUUUCGUAUAAAAAUAAAAGCAAUAACUUGUUCCUUGAUUAAUGUUCAAUUAGCCCAUGGGCUUGACAUAUUAAAUCUGCUUGAACAUUACUCUUGCCAUUUACAAAGUUAACUAAGUUCUCUUACAUAUUUAAACUACAUUUACAAAUUUAAUAUACUUGAUUUUUUUCAAGCACUUCAAAUUCCUCAUAUGGCCAAUUUAUACGUCAAACAAGAAAAAAUUCAAGCAUGUAAAUGACUCUCAUAAACCUAAUAUUUCAAGUUUUUUAAGUGUGGCAAAUCAAGUUAUCUUAAAGAUUUCAAUACUGUUUACAAACAUAAUCAAAUUAUCUUAUACCUUUCAGCUUCAAAUUACAAGUCUAAAAUAAAUUACACAAUUCAAUUUGAAAUCACAAGACUAAUCUGUCAGAUUCUUUAAUAUGCCAACUUCUCUUAAAUAUUAUACAUAUUAAAAACAUGUAUACAGACUAUCUCAAUUUUCAAAAAUUUUUUCCUUAAGCCUCCUGGGUGGCUCAAUCUAUUGGGCGUCUGACUCUUGGUUUCCACUCAGGGUCUUGAGAUCAACCCACCCUUUGGGCUCUGUGCUGACCCGGAGUCUACUUAAGAUUCUCUCUCACCUCCCUCUGUUCCUCCUUGAAACUCCAACUCUCUAUCUCUCUCUUAAAAAAAAUCUUUUUGCUAACCUUACACAAAUGAAGUAAUAUUAUGGACUUCUUUUUAUAUAGUCGUUUCUAUUUUCCUUCCCAAUAUGGCAGAAUAAAAAUGUUUUCUGUUCAUAUUUUUCUUGCCACAAUUCUACAGUCAUCUUACUGAUUUGUCCCUACAACUAAAGAACAGCCUGAUAAUUAUCCUUCUAUUUUUUAAAGGUUUAUUUAUUUUAUAUGAAAGAGAGAGUGAGCAUGAGUAGAAGGAGAGAGAAUCUCAUGCAAACUGUGCUGAGCACGUAGCCUGACUCAGGGCUUGAUCUCACAACCCUGAGAUCAUGACCUGAGCCGAACCACAAGUCAGAUUAACCGACUGCACCACCCAGACGUCCUUGAUAAUUAUCCUUCUGCGUGUAAACCCAGAUUUAAAUGAAAC